rnacentral:rRNA from 1 species
ACUCCUACGGGAGGCAGCAGUGGGGAAUAUUGGACAAUGGGGGCAACCCUGAUCCAGCAAUGCCGCGUGAGUGAUGAAGGCCUUAGGGUUGUAAAGCUCUUUUGCCAGGGACGAUGAUGACGGUACCCGUAGAAGAAGCCCCGGCUAACUUCGUGCCAGCAGCCGCGGUAAUACGAAGGGGGCUAGCGUUGUUCGGAUUUACUGGGCGUAAAGGGCGCGUAGGCGGUGCAAUAAGUCAGGCGUGAAAGCCCCGGGCUCAACCCGGGAAUUGCGCUUGAUACUGUUGCGCUUGAAUCCAGGAGAGGAUGGCGGAAUUCCCAGUGUAGAGGUGAAAUUCGUAGAUAUUGGGAAGAACACCAGUGGCGAAGGCGGCCAUCUGGCCUGGCAUUGACGCUGAGGCGCGAAAGCGUGGGGAGCAAACAGGAUUAGAUACCCUGGUAGUCCACGCCGUAAACGAUGAGUGCUAGUUGUCGGUAUGCAUGCAUAUCGGUGACGCAGCUAACGCAUUAAGCACUCCGCCUGGGGAGUACGGUCGCAAGAUUAAAACUCAAAGGAAUUGACG